ACCAUUCGUGCCAUUUAAGCGGCUUAAUUUUGCGACGUCUUCUGAAGGUCAAAUGAUUCAACCAUCAUGUUUUCCAAAGCAUCCAAUGGUGCGCAACUGAUGGGAUGGCAUGUGUGCUGCAAUUUGGAGUGGUUUGGCUACCCUAGUUUCCUCCUAUUCGGGUCAAGUUCCUAGCUCUGAGGUUCGUUCAUAAAAAAAGAUGUGUGGAUUGAGAAAUGCUUACCACAAAAAAUGUUAAAUGACUUCGACACCUACAUGGCGCUUGAGUACUAUGCGACGACUGUGCACUAUGUAGUUCCUGCUGGCUACUGCAAUGUGUCUUUUCGCCUGUAUUUUUUACUUGGAUAAGAGAAACUGGAAACCUUUUUCUUUAGUCAGUCUCUUGAGAUUCUCAUUUCAGUGAAGGCAUAACUUUGUUC